CCUACGGGUGGCAGCAGUGAGGAAUAUUGGUCAAUGGACGGAAGUCUGAACCAGCCAUGCCGCGUGCAGGAAGACGGCUCUAUGAGUUGUAAACUGCUUUUGUACAAGGAUAAACCUGAAUACGUGUAUCCAUCUGAAUGUACUGUACGAAUAAGGAUCGGCUAACUCCGUGCCAGCAGCCGCGGUAAUACGGAGGAUCCAAGCGUUAUCCGGAUUUAUUGGGUUUAAAGGGUGCAUAGGCGGAUUGUGAAGUUAGAGGUGAAAGGUCCGAGCUUAACUCGGGAACUGCCUCUAAUACUGUUGACCUAGAGAGUGGAUGCGGUAGGCGGAAUGUGUGGUGUAGCGGUGAAAUGCUUAGAGAU
rnacentral:rRNA from 1 species